AUUGAACGCUAACGGCAUGCUUAACACAUGCAAGUCGAACGGCAGCACAGUAGUAGCAAUACUAUGGGUGGCGAGUGGCGGACGGGUGAGUAAUACAUAGGAAUCUGCCUUGUAGUGGGGGAUAACCCGGGGAAACUCGGGCUAAUACCGCAUAAUCUUUACGAAGCAAAGUGGGGGACCGUAAGGCCUUACGCUAUAAGAUGAGCCUCUGUCGGAUGAGCUGGUUGGUGGGGUAAAGGCCUACCAAGGCAACGAUCCUUAGCUGGUCUGAGAGGAUGAUCAGCCACAGUGAAACGGAGACACGGUGCAGGGUCCAACGGGAGACAGCAGUGGGGAAUAUGGGACAAUGGGCGAAAUGCUGAUCCAGCAAUGCCGUGUGUGAGAAGAAGGCCUUCGGGUUGCAAAGCACUGUUAGUGGAGAAGAAAAGUUCAAGACGAAUAACCUUGAAGGCUAACGUUAUCCACAGAAAAAGCACUGGCUAACUCUGUGCCAGCAGCCGCGGUAA
rnacentral:rRNA from 1 species